rnacentral:rRNA from 1 species
UACGUAGGGGGCAAGCGUUGUCCGGAAUCAUUGGGCGUAAAGCGCGUGUAGGCGGUUCAGUAAGUCUGCUGUGAAAGUCCAGGGCUCAACCCUGGGAUGCCGGUGGAUACUGCUGGACUAGAGUGCGGAAGAGGCGAGUGGAAUUCCCGGUGUAGCGGUGAAAUGCGCAGAUGAUCGGGAGGAACACCAAUUGCGAAGGCAGCUCGCUGGGACGUUACUGACGCUGAGACGCGAAAGCGUGGGGAGCGAACAGG